GCAUAUGAAGGCUUGCCAGGCUCAGUUACAACUGAAAUGUGACAUUAGAGGUACUUCCUGAUGAAAUUGAGUUUAUGAGUUUUAGGCUGUGUCUUUGGACAUGUCAGAAAAAGUUAAAAAAUUUAAAAAAAGACAAUAACCGUUGUCGGGAAUCUGCUACAGUGUUGAGCUCAACGGUGAAGGGAAUCCAAAGAAGUACAAGACAGAACAGGAGACACGACAGCCUUCUUUUCAAUGGAGAGAGAGCUUCCCUGACCUUGACUUUCCUUGAAGGUGCCCACUGCUGGGGAUGUCAUUGAUGAGGGAAACCAAAGUGGAUCAUGGAUAACAUGGAAAAAUGCAGAGUAUCAUCAAGCCAAACCUGAGGUUUACUGCCUGUGCAUACCUGGACUACAUUUCCAAGACUUCUUUGCAGUGGGGUGGCAUCAUGUCAUUGAGUUCCAGCCAAUAGAAGUUGGCAGAAGUGAUGUGCCCAUAAAUUCAUCCUAUGCAAACAUUCUCCAUGAUCUCUCCUCCUGUGUUUUCUGGCUGAAUGGAGAUGACUCUGAGUAUUUAGAGGAGGGUGGAGCUAGAGGAUGGAAGGAGUGUGGGUCUCUGAAUGAUUA